rnacentral:rRNA from 1 species
CCUACGGGAGGCAGCAGUGGGGAAUAUUGGGCAAUGGGCGCAAGCCUGACCCAGCAACGCCGCGUGAAGGAAGAAGGCUUUCUGGUUGUAAACUUCUUUUCUGAGGGACGAAGAAGGUGACGGUACCUCAGGAAUAAGCCACGGCUAACUACGUGCCAGCAGUCGCGGUAAUACGUAGGUGGCAAGAGUUAUCCGGAUUUAGUGGGUGUAAAGGGCGUGUAGGCGGGAAAGCAAGUCAGAUGUGAAAACUCAGGGCUCAACCCUGAGACUGCAUUUGAAACUGUAUUUCUUGAGUGCUGGAGAGGCAAUCGGAAUGCCGUGUGUAGCGGUGAAAUGCGUAGAUAUACGGAAGAACACCGGUGGCGAAGGCAGAUUGCUGGACAAUAACUGACACUGAGGCGCGAAAGCGUGGGGAGCAAACAGGAUUAGAUACCCUAGUAGUC